AGGAUUAACGCUGGCGGAGUGCCUAACACAUGCAAGUCGAGCGGCAGCGCGAGUAGUUUACUACUUGGCGGCGAGCGGCGGACGGCUGAGUAACGCGUGGGAACGUGCCCCAAAGUGAGGAAUAACUGCCCGAAAGGGUAGCUAAUUCCGCAUAUGAUCUUCGGAUUAAAGGAUUUAUCCGCUUUGGGAGCGGCCCGCGUCAGAUUAGGUAGUUGGUGAGGUAAAGGCUCACCAAGCCGACGAUCGUGUAGCCUGGUCUGAGAGGAUGACCAGCCAGGACUGGGAACCUGGACGACGACGGUACCAGACCUCCGUUACGGGGAGCGAGCGAGGUGAGGAACUUCCUU
rnacentral:rRNA from 1 species